rnacentral:rRNA from 1 species
GUGCACGCUGGCGGUAGGCCUAACCCAUGCAAGUCGCGCGGCAGCACAGUAAGAGCUUGCUCUUACGGGUGGCGAGUGGCGGACGGGUGAGGAAUACAUCGGAAUCUACUUUUUCGUGGGGGAUAACGUAGGGAAACUUACGCUAAUACCGCAUACGACCUACGGGUGAAAGCAGGGGAUCUUCGGACCUUGCGCGAUUGAAUGAGCCGAUGUCGGAUUAGCUAGUUGGCGGGGUAAAGGCCCACCAAGGCGACGAUCCGUAGCUGGUCUGAGAGGAUGAUCAGCCACACUGGAACUGAGACACGGUCCAGACUCCUACGGGAGGCAGCAGUGGGGAAUAUUGGACAAUGGGCGCAAGCCUGAUCCAGCCAUACCGCGUGGGUGAAGAAGGCCUUCGGGUUGUAAAGCCCUUUUGUUGGGAAAGAAAAGCAGCAGGUUAAUACCCCGCUGUUCUGACGGUACCCAAAGAAUAAGCACCGGCUAACUUCGUG